rnacentral:rRNA from 1 species
UUUCCCUCAGGAUAGCUGGCACUCGCUUGAGCGAGUCUCAUCUGGUAAAGCGAAUGAUUAGAGGCCUUGGGGCCGAAACGACCUCAACCUAUUCUCAAACUUUAAAUGGGUGAGAUCUCUGGCUUGCUUGAACGUUGAAGCCACGAGAUUGCAAUGGAUCAGAGUGCCAAGUGGGCCAAUUUUGGUAAGCAGAACUGGCGCUGUGGGA